UCAGAAAACUAUCCCUCCUGGUUUCGACAAAAAAAUGGUCGAGCAGGUAAUUAUAAUGUCUACUUUUUUUUCUUCAACUGAUUCAUGCCUAGUAUGAUGUGUAUAUCCAAUGCUUUUUGAUUCUCACAGGUUUCUGGUGAGUGUAAAGGUCUACCUUUGGCUCUCAAAGUCACAGGGGCUUCACUAAAAGACCGACCUGAAAUGUAUUGGAAAGGAGCGUUGCAGAGGUUACAAAAAGGUGAACCUGCUGAUGAAACUCACGAGACUAGAUUACUUCAUCAAAUGGAAGCUAGUCUAGAAAAUCUUGACUCGACAACCAGAGAGUGUUUCUUGGAUCUUGGCGCAUUUCCUGAAGACAGGAAGAUUCCUGUAGAUGUUCUUAUCAACAUGUGGAUUGAGAUACAUGAUCUAGAGGAGGCCAUUGCUUUUGCCACUCUUGUUGAUUUGUCGCACAAGAAUCUACUUACCCUUGGGAAAGAUCCACGGUAAGGAUGGGAUCACAUCACUUGUAGCUCUUCACUUUUUUAUAUGUACUAAUAAUCACUACUGGUAUAUUGAUAUACAGGCUUGGCUCUUCAUAUGCAAGCUACUAUGAUGUGUUUGUGACACAACAUGAUGUUCUGAGAGACUUGGCUCUUCAUUUAAGCAACAAAGGGAAAGUAAACAUAAGGAAGAGACUGCUGAUGCCGAAAAGAGAGUCAUCUCUUCCAAAAGAAUGGGGAAGGAACAGUGAUGAGCCAUACAGAGCUCAGAUAGUCUCUAUUCAUACUGGUAAGAGACUGUUUUAAACUGCAAUCUUUAUAUCACAAGGAUGGUAAUGUUGACUAGAGUUAUGUUUCUGUUGCAGGGGAUAUGGAUGAGAUGGGUUGGUCUGACUUUGACAUGGACUUCCCUAAGGCAGAGAUUCUAAUACUGAACUUCUCUUCAGACAAAUAUGUUCUGCCUCCUUUCAUCACUAAGAUGAGCAAGCUUAGGGUCCUAAGGGAAGAUGAAGCACUCUCCCUCUUCUGUCUCUGUGCAUUUGGUCAGAAAACUAUCCCUCCUGGUUUCGACAAAAAAAUGGUCGAGCAGGUAAUUAUAAUGUCUACUUUUUUUUCUUCAACUGAUUCAUGCCUAGUAUGAUGUGUAUAUCCAAUGCUUUUUGAUUCUCACAGGUUUCUGGUGAGUGUAAAGGUCUACCUUUGGCUCUCAAAGUCACAGGGGCUUCACUAAAAGACCGACCUGAAAUGUAUUGGAAAGGAGCGUUGCAGAGGUUACAAAAAGGUGAACCUGCUGAUGAAACUCACGAGACUAGAUUACUUCAUCAAAUGGAAGCUAGUCUAGAAAAUCUUGACUCGACAACCAGAGAGUGUUUCUUGGAUCUUGGCGCAUUUCCUGAAGACAGGAAGAUUCCUGUAGAUGUUCUUAUCAAC
rnacentral:lncRNA from 1 species